UACGGAGGAUCCGAGCGUUAUCCGGAUUUAUUGGGUUUAAAGGGUGCGUAGGUGGAUUGGUAAGUCAGUAGUGAAAGUUUGCAGCUUAACUGUAAAAUUGCCGUUGAAACUGCCGGUCUUGAGUGCAAAUGAGGUAGGCGGAAUGCGUCGUGUAGCGGUGAAAUGCUUAGAUAUGACGCAGAACUCCGAUUGCGAAGGCAGCUUACUGGGAUGCAACUGACGCUGAGGCACGAAAGCGUGGGUAUCAAACAGGAUUAGAUA
rnacentral:rRNA from 1 species